UUAGCCUAUAUUCAUUCUUCUCUGUUACAUCUCAACAGGACCCAUCUCAACAGCCAAAAAAGAAUGUGGCAACAACUGAAAAUUAAAUAUAAAAACAUUUUCCAGAGUGGUAAGUAGCUAUAAUGAAAUGUGAAAUUUAUUUGUUAAAAUAGUUGUUGAUCUGUAAAUAUGUACCAUAGUCACCACCAAAAAAAGACAGAUGCCACUGCUACUGGAUGGGGACCUCCACUUGAGGACUUCAUACCUGUAGAAGAGCUGGUGUUGAGCUACAACCGGGGGCACCCACUAACACAGGGAAUAGAAGGGGGGACCUCCUCACACAGCAAUAUGUGCAAGGUAUUGUCUACUACGUUUCUUCAACAGGUAUCAGUCUCUCAAUGGUAAAAACUUACAGUAGGCCUAUAUCUUUCAGUGAAUGGAGACACUAUAUACCUGCUAGAUCCCCCAACUUAGGAUGCUCAAGGCUUACCUGACCCAUGAGGAGAUGGCGCCAGCAUGUCUAGGGCCCUUGAUAAGGAGACUAUUUCUACAGUCACAGAAAUGCCAUAAGUUUUUCCAAUACGAGGAUAAAGGUGUGGCAGAGGAGAGCAUCAUCUUUCAUCACUGUGGAUUAUGGAAAAUAUUUGAACAGAAAAAAAAGAAAGAAAAAAAAACACAAGCAAAAGACUGCCUGGAUUUGUGACUGAUGCUUCAGCACCUAUCACUGUAAGCAGACUUCACUGACCCAGGUAACUGCAGGAUAUAUAGAAAGGUAAGGAUCUUCAAGUGUAAAUGAUUUUUCUUUCAUUUCAUUUGCUGGGUCAUACUGCUGACUGUAAACCAGCCUGAUGACUGCUUUGAAGGCGUCCUGGAGUUGUGUGUUGGAUGGUGUAUGUUUUGCAUUCAGAGGUGUUUGUCACACUCACUGCAGUGGUAUUCUUGUUUUCCCGGUCUGUCAUGCUGUUCUAUCUCACACAGGCUCUGCUCUCUACUGGACUCGGUGGGUAGUGGCACUUUCCAAUCACACAUAUGUAUUCACCCACUGAAAUUUGCAUGUACGUAGCCGGCCAAUCAGGACGUGCCUACCGAAUAUGUGUGUCCCACACAGUAUAUAAGGAAGCGUCUUCGCUGCCUCUCAUCCUCUUUUCUUCGAUGACAGUGAAGUUUGCCCACUGAUCUGUUUUCUCUGCGGAUGCAAUCGCCGCUUCAAGAAACUCAUCAGAAGCCCAUCAUGUCCCAGCCUUAUCACCACCACCAACCUGCAUGUUUACUGCUUUGAGUGUCUCAGACAGGAAUAGGCAGAGAGCGGUGUUGGGCAGCCGCUGACCUGCGUGGGCUGCCGGGCGCUCCCCAGGACCAGGCACCAGCAGUGGUGGGACCCAUACUGGUGCUUUGAUGUGAUACUUCGCUGUGAGGAGAGUGAACAAGAGUUUGACACUGAUUUCCCACGCCGACUGACGAUCCUCCAUCACUACGACAUCACCACAACUGCUGCCAGUGCCUGCGUCAAUUGACGACAAUAACAACUUCUCAAUGGUGUCUGGGACAUUACUGACCUUUGGGAAUCUGCCGCCAACUUCUGUUUGCCAGGAUUUCCUGAAAGUGAUGACCAUGGCGCCGGAGAGAGUCAGGCUUACACUGCCCCCACUGAUCCUUCUGAAAUUGGUAAUCUGGCUCCAUAAAGGUUUUUACGAGCUGGCUCACCCGGCCCAGCCAUUCUAUGUCUCCUCUUCCCUUCCAGACAUCUGGCAGUGCAACAAAGUGUCCUGGAGGGAGCUGCUGAAAAUGAAGGCUCCAGUAGUGGGACUGGUGGACUUCCUGAGAGUGCAGGGCUGUGACGUGCCGGCGGGGUUCACCGCACCCUCCCACCAUGUUUCAUGUUCUUUGGACAGUCAUAUGAGUGAUGUUCAUGUUAAUGCCUCUGUUCAUGCAUGUGUUGAAAAUGUUUUGAUUAAAACAAAAUACAUUUUCCACGAAAGAGCACAAUCCACUCCCCUCUUUUCCACCCCGCCAUCCAUGAGGCUGUGGUGAAUUCGACUCAGCCCGUUUCACUCAUCGGAUCACGGAGGCUGUGUGAAAUACACACACACACACAGCCAGUAUCCCUGCCACUUCUCCCAUGUUGGAGUCAGAUGGCCAGACUAAUCGUACCACUGUGUGCAGUGAAACCAUAGCACUGUGCCCAUUCACAAGUGGUAUAUUAGGCGUGAUGCUGUCAGAAAACACAUCUCACCGGACAUGACGACAUUAAGAAACAUGUCUGUUUUCUGCUGUGCUCGCAAAUGUCAUUUUCCACCAGACUGGCUCACACAGCUUAUUUCUCAAGUUAAGAGUGAUGUGUCUGGCUGCAUUAUCUCCUCUUUGAUGAGUGAUUCGCCUCACACACACACAAGCCGGAGAGAAGGGAGUGUAUGUCUUUCACCUUUCCCUUCAGCUGUUUCCAUACGGAAUACGGAAGGGAACAAACACAAUGACAUAAAGCCACUGUUGUGACAAUUUCAGGUAACGACCUCACUGCCAACUCGGCUCUUUCCACACCGGCCCAAAUGGGCCAAACUUGCAUUUAUGGAAGGUUUGGCGCUGGAGAAGGCCAAAUUGGAAUAUUAUGCAUUGUA